ensembl:lncRNA
GUUUCCUCUGUCUUUCUGCAUAUCUGUAGUGUAGCCACCUAUUAAGUAAGCGAUUAAAUACUCAGUUGCCAUGCUCUGGGUUAAGUCUUUUCUCCUGUUAAAGAAAAAAUUAUCCAGUGACACUUGAUGAAGACGGUCCCCGUAUCUGUGAAACCGCCUUGGAAAAGCCUCUACACACAAGCAAUGCCUUGUUCCUGGCCAACUACCACAGGCCUGCUCCAGCACUCCUGUCCCUGAGGCUCCCAUCCCUCUGAGACUGGCUGUGCCCGGGAGAAAGAGGAGGAGGAGGAAGAGGAGGAGGACUCUCCGGAGAUCAGAAGUGAGAAGUUUUACACAACCGGGGAAAUGGAGGAAAAACCCGAGUCUUAAAGCCCCAGUCGUUGCCUAUCUGAGCCUCACCACUACUCACUCCAAAUUAAUGCAAGGAAGAUUUUGACCUUGAGGGUCGGGUUGAACCAGACUAGCACGGAAAAGGGAAGGUGGAAAAGAAUCUGAGGGAAAGAGGGUACCCUUCGGAAAACAAGGAAUAUUCAAGUACCAGGUGCGAAAGUUUUAAAUAGAAACCCGCUUACAUUGCACUUGGAGUAACAACAGCUGGCUGGAGGUCCUGGGGCUCCUCAGAAGACGAAGAAUUUUUCCGGGACAGUCUCAACAUCACGUGAAGCCAUUGUAGCAAAGGCUACAGCUCAGUGGCCCCCUGUCUAUGCAUCUCAAAUUGCGAGCUUAGGGAUUUAUUUUCUAACUUGUACACUAAACCUCUCACAUUCCACCCGCACACAAUGACUCUGUUUUUCAAAAUGCUGUCAUACAUGGGAAUUUUAUGACAUCAAACCCUUAAAAAUGUGGAAACUUUGGUUUCAAAAUACUUAAUAGGGGAAAAUAAUAAACCCCUUGAUUCACAGUUUCUUUGCUUGCUUACGGUUCGUUUCUGACACUGUGACUGGCGCGUGUUUGGGAGGCCGGGUUUCGGAGGCAUAAUCAAGUAUUCAUAUAUGCCUGGUCUUGGCACCGCAGAACGCUCCCUCUAAUCUGGAAAUAUUUUCCCUUCAGACAGGAAUAGAGAGGUUACAUUUGGGUCACUAGCAAUCUCACAAAAGGCUUUUCAAACGAGAUGAAAGAAAAGAAGUUCUGAUUUGUUGGGAGAAAUCGGAGAGCUUUCCAACUCGAGGGAUGUGGUGAGCGUCCAGGAGCGCGUCCAGGAGCGGCAUCUCUGGGGUGGGAAGCCGGGAGCACCCCCGACGGAUGGGCUGAGCGAGAAGGACAGGGUUACAGCCGGCGGAGGAGGCGAUGGAGCCCCUGCUUCCUCCAGGUGUCCCUUACGCAGACUUUCCAGGCAGGCUGUUGGCUGCAGGCGGCCGUCCCUCUUCCUGUGGCUUGGGCAUCAGCUUUCCAGCUCUCUCUGGAAAGCCUGUGUAAUGGCCGCCUGCCUGCAUGCGCUGCCUCGCCCACGACCCCAACAGUUAAACAGCUCUGUUCACAACCAGGGGAGGGUGACAACAUUUCAGAUGCAUUUCCUCCAGGCAGGACGAGUUGGCCCCAGCGGAGCGUACACCUGCGUUCCUCAAUCAUAGGAGGCUCUGUCUUUCCUCUCGCAUGACCCCGCUUUCCUACGUCUGUUGGGAAAGCAGAAUAUUUAGAAUCAAAGGGGCAGCCAGGGGAGGGAGAGAGGCGAAGUGCUGCCCAGCGCCUCAAAUGUCGCUGAGGAAUCAGGAGACACAGUUUCCUUCAGCUUAAAGAACUUACUUAGUUCCUUAAAGUCGAAUGAAUUCCUCAAGCACUGGAGAAACUUUUGCAAAAAUAUCCAGAGCCCAGACCAGUGCUUGGCGUGCAGCACACACUCCAUGAACGGCGUGGAGUGCGGACGCAGAGCACUGUUUCU